AUGGACAAAAAAAUAUUUUGUUGGAUAUUUUUGCUUGGAUAUUUCCAUGCAUCCUCUGGACAAGUGACAACCAACACAACUGGAGCCAUCACAUUUUCGGCUACAACAACCACAGCUGGAACCGCCACAACUCCAACUCUAACUACCACAACUGGAGGCAUUACAUUUUCGGCUCCAACCACCAUAAUUGCAGCCACCACAUCUCCAGGUUCAACCACCACAACUGCAGCCACCACAACUCCAGCUCCAACCACCACAACUUCGGCUCCUAGCACUACAACUCCGGUUCCAACCACCACAACUGCAGCCACCACAACUCCGGCUCUAACCACCACAACUCCAGCUCCAACCACCACAACUCCAGCUCCAACCACCACAACUCCACCUCCUAGCACUACAACUCCAGCUCCUAACACUACAACUCCGGGUCCAACCACCACAACUCCAGCUCCAACCACCACAACUCUGCCUCCUAGCACUACAACUCCGGGUCCAACCACCACAACUCCAGCUCCAACCACCACAACUCUGGCUCCUGGCACUACAACUCCAGCUCCAACCACCACAACUCCACCUCCUAGCACUACAACUCUGGCUCCUAGCACUACAACACCAGCUCCAACCACCACAACUCCGGCUCCUGGCACUACAACUCCAGCUCCAACCACCACAACUCCACCUCCUAGCACUACAACUCUGGCUCCUAGCACUACAACUCUGGGUCCAACCACCACAACUCCAGCUCCAACCACCACAACUCUGGCUCCUGGCACUACAACUCCGGGUCCAACCACCACAACUCCAGCUCCAACCACCACAACUUCGGCUCCUAACACUACAACUCCGGGUCCAACCACCACAACUACGGCUCCAACCACUACAACUCCAGCUCCAAUCAUUACAACUCUGUCUCCAACCACCAUAACUGGAGCCACCACCUCAUCUAUAGGAGAAACAACAAUUCAAGUCUUUGAAUCACUGGCACAUCUACAGAUGAAGUUAAGUUCUAUUGGAGAGCUCAGCAAUCAAACCAUCAUUGAAAAUGUUAAACAGCUUUUUAAAGAGCAGCUCCUGAAUGGAACAGCCCAUACAAUAACAGUGACAAACAUCCAGAAGGUUAGAGUUACCCCAUAG
rnacentral:lncRNA from 15 species